rnacentral:rRNA from 1 species
UUGGGCGUAAAGCGAGCGCAGGCGGUUUCUUAAGUCUGAUGUGAAAGCCUUCGGCUCAACCGAAGAAGUGCAUCGGAAACUGGGAAACUUGAGUGCAGAAGAGGACAGUGGAACUCCAUGUGUAGCGGUGAAAUGCGUAGAUAUAUGGAAGAACACCAGUGGCGAAGGCGGCUGUCUGGUCUGUAACUGACGCUGAGGCUCGAAAGCAUGGGUAGCAAACAGGAUUAGAUACCCUGGUAGUCCAUGCCGUAAACGAUGAGUGCUAGGUGUUGGAGGGUUUCCGCCCUUCAGUGCCGCAGCUAACGCAUUAAGCACUCCGCCUGGGGAGUACGACCGCAAGGUUGAAACUCAAAGGAAUUGACGGGGGCCCGCACAAGCGGUGGAGCAUGUGGUUUAAUUCGAAGCAACGCGAAGAACCUUACCAGGUCUUGACAUCCUUUGACCACUCUAGAGAUAGAGCUUUCCCUUCGGGGACAAAGUGACAGGUGGUGCAUGGUUGUCGUCAGCUCGUGUCGUGAGAUGUUGGGUUAAGUCCCGCAACGAGCGCAACCCUUAUUACUAGUUGCCAGCAUUUAGUUGGGCACUCUAGUGAGACUGCCGGUGACAAACCGGAGGAAGGUGGGGACGACGUCAAAUCAUCAUGCCCCUUAUGACCUGGGCUACACACGUGCUACAAUGGAUGGUACAACGAGUCGCGAGACCGCGAGGUUUAGCUAAUCUCUUAAAACCAUUCUCAGUUCGGAUUGUAGGCUGCAACUCGCCUACAUGAAGCCGGAAUCGCUAGUAAUCGCGGAUCAGCAUGCCGCGGUGAAUACGUUCCCGGGCCUUGUACACACCGCCCGUCACACCAUGAGAGUUUGUAACACCCAAAGCCGGUGAGGUAACCUUCGGGAGCCAGCCGUCUAAGGUGGGACAGAUGAUUAGGGUGAAGUCGUAACAAGGUA